rnacentral:rRNA from 1 species
GGUUUGAUUCUGGCUCAGAUUGAACGCUGGCGGGAUGCUUUACACAUGCAAGUCGAACGGCAGCACGGACUUCGGUCUGGUGGCGAGUGGCGAACGGGUGAGUAAUGUAUCGGAACGUGCCUAGUAGCGGGGGAUAGACCAUGAAAGUAGCUAAUACCGCAUACCUUCGUGGGGAAAGCGGGGACCUUUCGGGCCUCGCACUAUUAGAGCGGCCGAUAUCGGAUUAGCUAGUUGGUGGGGUAACGGCUCACCAAGGCGACGAUCCGUAGCUGGUUUGAGAGGACGACCAGCCACACUGGGACUGAGACACGGCCCAGACUCCUACGGGAGGCAGCAGUGGGGAAUUUUGGACAAUGGGAACCUGAUCCAGCCAUCCUGCGUGCGAUGGUGGAAGGCCUUCGGGUUGUAAAGCACUUUGGCAGGAAAGAAACGGCACGGGAUAAUACCCCGUGCAACUGACGGUACCUGCAGAAUAAGCACCGGCUAACUACGUGCCAGCAGCCGCGGUAAUACGUAGGGUGCAAGCGUUAAUCGGAAUUACUGGGCGUAAAGCGUGCGCAGGCGGUUCGGAAAGAAAGAUGGAAAUCCUGGAGCUUUAACUUUGAACUGCAUUUUUAACUGCUUCCCCGAGCUAGAGUGUGUCAGGAGGGAGGUGGAAUUCCGCGUGUAGCAGUGAAAUGCGUAGAUAUGGAGGAACACCGAUGGCGAAGGCAGCCUCCUGGGAUAACACUGACGCUCAUGCACGAAAGCGUGGGGAGCAAACAGGAUUAGAUACCCUGGUAGUCCACGCCCUAACGAUGUCAACUAGCUGUUGGGGCCUGGCCUGGGUAGCGCAGCUAACGCGGUGGUUGACCGCCUGGGGAGUACGGUCGCAAGAUUAAAACUCAAAGGAAUUGACGGACCCGCACAAGCGGUGGAUGAGCGUGAUUAAUUCGAUGCAACGCGAAAACCUUACCUACCCUUGACAUGUCUGGAAUCCUGAAGAGAUUUGUAUGCUCGCAAGAGAACUGAACACAGGUGCUGCAUAUUGUCGUCAGCUCGUGUCGUGGAGAUGUUGGGUUAAGUCCCGCAACGAGCGCAACCCUUGUCAUUGGUUGCUACGAAAGGGCACUGACGAGACUGCCGGUGACAAACCGGAGGAAGCGAUGACGCCAAGUCCUCAUGGCCCUUAUGGGUAGGGCUUCACACGUCAUACAAUGGUCGGGACAGAGGGUCGCCAACCCGCGAGGGGGAGCCAAUCCCAGAAACCCGAUCAGUCCGGAUCAGUCUGCAACUCGACUGCGUGAAGUCGGAAUCGCUAGCAAUCGCGGAUCAGCAUGUCGUGUGAAUACGUUCGGGUCUUGUACACACCGCCCGUCACACCAUGGGAGUGGGUUUUACCAGAAGUAGUUAGCCUAACCGGGCGAGGGCGACUACCACGGUAGGAUUCAUGACUGGGGUGAAGUCGUAACAAGGUAGCUCUUUGGCAUUACCUGAUGCCCUCGU